rnacentral:rRNA from 1 species
AUUGAACGCUGGCGGCAUGCCUUACACAUGUAAGUCGAACGGCAGCAUGAUCUAGCUUGCUAGACUGAUGGCGAGUGGCGAACGGGUGAGUAAUACAUCGGAACGUGCCCUGUAGUGGGGGAUAACUAGUCGAAAGAUUAGUUAAUACCGCAUACGACCUGAGGGUGAAAGUGGGGGACCGCAAGGCCUCAUGCUAUAGGAGCGGCCGAUGUCUGAUUAGCUAGUUGGUGAGGUAAAGGCUCACCAAGGCGACGAUCAGUAGCUGGUCUGAGGGGACGAUCAGCCACACUGGGACUGAGACACGGCCCAGACUCCUACGGGAGGCAGCAGUGGGGAAUUUUGGACAAUGGGGGCAACCCUGAUCCAGCAAUGCCGCGUGUGUGAAGAAGGCCUUCGGGUUGUAAAGCACUUUUGUCCGGAAAGAAAUCGCACUUACUAAUAUUAGGUGUGGAUGACGGUACCGGAAGAAUAAGGACCGGCUAACUACGUGCCAGCCGCCGCCGUAAAAC